CCUACGGGAGGCUGCAGUGGGGAAUAUUGGACAAUGGGCGAAAGCCUGAUCCAGCCAUGCCGCGUGUGUGAAGAAGGCCUUCGGGUUGUAAAGCACUUUCAGUGGGGAAGAAAGCCUUGGGGCUAAUACCCUCGAGGAAGGACAUCACCCACAGAAGAAGCACCGGCUAACUCCGUGCCAGCAGCCGCGGUAAUACGGAGGGUGCGAGCGUUAAUCGGAAUUACUGGGCGUAAAGCGCGCGUAGGCGGUCUGAUAAGCCGGUUGUGAAAGCCCCGGGCUCAACCUGGGAACGGCAUCCGGAACUGUCAGGCUAGAGUGCAGGAGAGGAAGGUAGAAUUCCCGGUGUAGCGGUGACAUGCGUAGAGAUCGGGAGGAAUACCAGUGGCGAAGGCGGUCUUCUGGACUGACACUGACGCUGAGGUGCGAAAGCGUGGGUAGCAAACAGGAUUAGAUACCCUAGUAGUC
rnacentral:rRNA from 1 species